AUCAGAUGCAUUACAUGUCCGCCAAAAUACUGCGUGGAAAGGCGCCAGAUCUGAUAUGCAGUACUUGCAGUAUGUGUUAUAAAAUACCGGGCUGCCUUCUGUAAACAUAUAUGCUGACUGUGUCCAUAACAUCAGUUUGCAUUGCACUUGGUGAUGUAAGGCUUGGAUGCAGCUGCUCGGCCAUGGAAACCAUCCCAUGAAGCUCUCUGCGCUUUUCUUGAGCUAAUCCGAAGGCCUCGUGACGUUUGGAGACUGAGGCAGGAGUGGAUGGUCCGUCUGGAGAACCGCACCAAACACCUGAAGAGCCUCAACGACAACUACGUCAGGAAGAUCAAGAUGGAGAAGUCAGCUGACCAGACAUGAGUUCAGACGCCGUGUCAUCCUGAUGUCAAUAAAGUGAUCAGCUUCAUGUUGUGUGAGAUUUGAACUCGGAUGUUUUGCAUUAAAUUAUGUAGACUGAUGUGAGGAAGUUAGUGUUUGUUUGCACAAAAUAAUAAAACUAAGUGAAUAAAGAACCAGACGAACCUUCCA